rnacentral:rRNA from 1 species
UACGAAGGGGGCAAGCGUUGUUCGGAAUGACUGGGCGUAAAGGGCGCGUAGGCGGCCCGCUAAGUCGAACGUGAAAUCCCCGAGCUCAACUCGGGAACUGCGUCCGAUACUGGCGGGCUUGAAUCCGGGAGAGGGAUGCGGAAUUCCAGGUGUAGCGGUGAAAUGCGUAGAUAUCUGGAGGAACACCGGUGGCGAAGGCGGCAUCCUGGACCGGCAUUGACGCUGAGGCGCGAAAGCUAGGGGAGCAAACGGG